rnacentral:rRNA from 1 species
GAUGAACGCUGGCGGCGUGCCUAAUACAUGCAAGUCGAGCGAACAGACGAGGAGCUCGCUCCUCUGACGUUAGCGGCGGACGGGUGAGUAACACGUGGAUAACCUACCUAUAAGACUGGGAUAACUUCGGGAAACCGGAGCUAAUACCGGAUAAUAUAUUGAACCGCAUGGUUCAAUAGUGAAAGACGGUUUUGCUGUCACUUAUAGAUGGAUCCGCGCCGCAUUAGCUAGUUGGUAAGGUAACGGCUUACCAAGGCAACGAUGCGUAGCCGACCUGAGAGGGUGGUCGGCCACACUGGAACUGAGACACGGUCCAGACUCCUACGGGAGGCAGCAGUAGGGAAUCUUCCGCAAUGGGCGAAAGCCUGACGGAGCAACGCCGCGUGAGUGAUGAAGGUCUUCGGAUCGUAAAACUCUGUUAUUAGGGAAGAACAAAUGUGUAAGUAACUAUGCACGUCUUGACGGUACCUAAUCAGAAAGCCACGGCUAACUACGUG